GAUGAAGAACGUAGUGAAAUGCGAUACUUGGUGUGAAUCGCAGAAUCCCGUGAACCAUCGAGUCUUUGAACGCAAGUUGCGCCCGAAGCCAUUAGGCCGAGGGCACGCCUGCCUGGGCGUCACACGUCGUUGCCCCCCCAUCUACUCCUUCGGGAUUGCGGGGGGCGGAUGAUGGCCUCCCGUGCGCCUCGUCGCGCGGUUGGCAUAAAUACCAAGUCCUCGGCGACGCACGCCACGACAAUCGGUGGUUGCGAAACCUCGGUUGCCCGUCGUGUGCGGUCGUCGCGCAUCGAGGGCUCGAAAAAAUUGCCGGGCUCCGGCUCGGCUUUCAACGCGACCCCAGGUCAGGCGGGGUUACCCGCUGAAUUUAAGCAUAUCAAUAAGCGGAGGA
rnacentral:misc_RNA from 1 species